rnacentral:rRNA from 1 species
GACGAACGCUGGCGGCGUGCUUAACACAUGCAAGUCGAACGAAGAGGCGAACGGGUGAGUAAUAGGUGGGUAACCUGCUCUCCGGGUUGGGCUAAGGCUUGGAGACGGGGUCUAAUACCGACUGAAGGAGGCUGGGCUGGCGGCCUAUCUGCUUGUUGGUGGGGUGAUGGCCGAACAAUGCGGUGACGGGUAGCCGGACUGAGAGGGUGAACGGCCACAUUGGGACUGGGAUACGGCCCAGAGUCCUACGGGAGGCAGCAGUGGGCGAUAUUGCACAAUGGGCGAAAGCCUGAUGCAGCGACGCCGCGUGGGGGAUGAAGGCUUUCGGGUUGUAAACCUCUUUCGCUAUCGAAUGGGUAGGUGGAGAAGAAGCGCCGGCUAACUACGUGCCAGCAGCCGCGGUAAUAC